rnacentral:rRNA from 1 species
UACGUAGGGGGCAAGCGUUGUCCGGAAUCACUGGGCGUAAAGCGCGUGUAGGCGGCUCAGCAAGUCCGCUCUGAAAGCCCGGGGCUCAACCCCGGGAGGCGGGUGGAUACUGCUGAGCUCGAGUCCGGAAGAGGAGUGUGGAAUUCCUGGUGUAGCGGUGAAAUGCGCAGAUAUCAGGAGGAACACCAAUGGCGAAGGCAGCACUCUGGGACGGUACUGACGCUGAGACGCGAAAGCGUGGGGAGCAAACAGG